AUACGGAGGGUGCAAACGUUGUUCGGAAUCACUGGGCGUAAAGGGCGCGCAGGCGGUUUGAUUAGUCAGAUGUGAAAGCCCACGGCUUAACCGUGGAAGUGCAUUUGAAACUGUCAGACUUGAGUACCAGAGGGGGUAGUGGAAUUCCCGGUGUAGAGGUGAAAUUCGUAGAUAUCCGGAGGAAUACCGGUGGCGAAGGCGACUACCUGGCUGGAUACUGACGCUGAGGCGCGAAAGCGUGGGGAGCAAACAGGAUUAGAAACCCCGGUAGUCC
rnacentral:rRNA from 1 species